rnacentral:rRNA from 1 species
AACGAACGCUGGCGGCAGGCUUAACGCAUGCAAGUCGAGCGCCCCGCAAGGGGAGCGGCAGACGGGUGAGUAACGCGUGGGAAUCUACCCAUCUCUACGGAAUAACGCAUGGAAACGUGUGCUAAUACCGUAUACGUCCUUCGGGAGAAAGAUUUAUCGGAGAUGGAUGAGCCCGCGUUGGAUUAGCUAGUUGGUGGGGUAAAGGCCUACCAAGGCGACGAUCCAUAGCUAGUCUGAGAGGAUGAUCAGCCACACUGGGACUGAGACACGGCCCAGACUCCUACGGGAGGCAGCAGUGGGGAAUAUUGGACAAUGGGCGCAAGCCUGAUCCAGCCAUGCCGCGUGAGUGAUGAAGGCCCUAGGGUUGUAAAGCUCUUUCACCGGUGAAGAUAAUGACGGUAACCGGAGAAGAAGCCCCGGCUAACUUCGUGCCAGCCGCCGCAGUAACAC